UUGCUGUGUAAGCCAUUGGGAAAUCGACGCGCUCAACGCGUCGACGUCCGGUGGAAACUGCACGGCUUGGGGCCGAGAGACUCGACGGGUACGUCCGGGGUAGGAGUGAAAUCCUAUAAUCCUGGACGGACCACCAAUGGGGAAACCACGUCGAGAGACCGGACCCGACAGUGAGGGACGAAAGCCAGGCUCUCGAACCG
rnacentral:rRNA from 1 species